CGCUUAGAGUUAGAGCCCGUCUGCUUCACUCCACGUGUUGUAUACUUUUAUACCACGUUAUACACGUUCCGCAAUUAUACUUCACACUUCAUACAGAAAUCAUACGUACUUUCAUCAUGGUCCGACAUGCACACGCUAAAGUUGAACAAUAUACCAUCGAAAGGAAAGAAAAUUGGAUGGCAAUGCUUAAAGGUAUGAUCAAAUCCGUAGGUGAUACUAAUGAAGAUUUGACAAUUGCGCUCGAAAAGUUGUGCCAAUCCAAAAAAGUACCCAGGAGAUGGAUAAAGUUAAACAAGCCUAAAUUUGUGAAAUUUUUGAAAUACCUUCGUUACAAGAUUGAUCCAAAGGUAGCAGACCAGAUGUGGGAGAUGUUUUCCAAAGCUCUUGAAGUAGAAAAAAAGAAAGAGGAAAAGAAAAAAGCCCCUAAAGUCACAGAAAAAACAGCAAGUGAAGAAAAAAUGGAAAAUUGACAUACCCUUGUGACAAUCCAAUUACUGAAUAAUAAAAGGACAGAAAGCUGAAAAAGUUAUUCGAGAUUAAGUCUUUUUUUCCUGAAUUUUGUGUGACAUCAUGCUUUUCUCUUUGCUUAAUUCCAGGCAAGCAUCGCUUAACCAAUAAAAAUAUUGAUUUCUUUGCUA